GCCGUCGAUGAUGAGGAGAUGGUACAGUUCAUUAUAAACGGCCUCGACUUUGAUUACAAUCCAAUUGUAUCCUCUAUUCUUAGCCGUGCUGACCCCACAUCGCUCAGUGAUCUAUACUCUCAACUUGUGGCAUAUGAUA
rnacentral:snoRNA from 1 species